rnacentral:misc_RNA from 1 species
GAUGAAGAACGCAGCGAAGUGCGAUAAGUAAUGUGAAUUGCAGAAUUCCGUGAAUCAUCGAAUCUUUGAACGCAAAUUGCACUCUCUGGUAUCCCGGGGAGUAUGCCUGUUUGAGGGUCAGUGUUAAUAAAAAUCGGUGCGUUGCACUUUAUUGUGACGUUCUGGAGUUUGAGUUAUCUUAACUUUUAGGUUAAGAGGCUUAAAAUUGACCUUUUUUUGUGCAUUUUAGACGUACAUAAAUUUUCUUUUAUUUGUCUUUUAAUGCCAAAAUUACAUUAGAUGCGACCAUAUCGUGUGGUUUCGUGUCUAUAAAUUUUUCAUGAUUUGACCUCAAAUCAGGUAGGAGUACCCGCUGAACUUAAGCAUAUCAAUAAGCGGAGGA